UACGUAGGGUGCAAGCGUUAAUCGGAAUUACUGGGCGUAAAGCGUGCGCAGGCGGUUUUGUAAGUCUGUCGUGAAAUCCCCGGGCUUAACCUGGGAAUUGCGAUGGAGACUGGCUGGCUAGAGUGUGUCAGAGGAUGGUGGAAUUCCUGGUGUAGCGGUGAAAUGCGCAGAUAUCAGGAAGAACACCAAUGGCGAAAGCAGCUCUCUGGGACGGUACUGACGCUGAGACGCGAAAGCGUGGGGAGCGAACAGG
rnacentral:rRNA from 1 species